CGGGGAGCGGCGCUGCGGCCCCAGGUGCGGGGCGGGCACGGACAGGUGGUGCCGCUCGGCGCGGAGCGGCUGCGGGCUGCGUUAUACCGCGGACGUGGGGCGAUGAAAUGGGGCUGAGCGUGCUGAAGGGUUUUGCGUCUCGAGUGCAAGCGGUGGUGUCCAGCAAGGCUCCCUAUAGGAAACGUUUGAAGAGCAGAUGUAAUUCGGUAGCACUGCAGUGCCAAAAGAAACGUGACACCCUUUGCCGUCUCUUCCUGAAGGGACAGAGGUCUUUUUUUUAAAUCUCAGUCGGCAGUUCUCCUCCCCUGUCCCAGCAACAGGCUGCUAUCGCUUUCUCCGAUUAUGGCUGCUGAGUUCCAGCCUUGCUGCAAGACACAUAGCAGAAACUGUUCUGAAGUGGUGUAAGAGAUGAGGAAAGUGAUUCCAAGAUGGGAUUCCCCUUCCAGGAUAAGUACAGGGGAGGGCAAUGGUACAUAUAUCUCCAGAGCCUAAAACUACAGAGGAAAAAAAGAGUAAGAAUUUGAAGGAAAAUGUGUGAAAUGGGAACAUAAAUGCUCUGUGUUGGAGUCUGAGCCUUAUCCCACUGCAGGCAGUAGGAACUUUACCUUUGACUUCGGCCCGAGCAGAACAGGACCCAUGUGAGUUUCCUGGUCCAGUCCCAGAAUUAAGAUAUUUUGGCAGAAGAUCCUUGCUGCUAUUGAGUUCCCUUUGGCAAACUGUUUUCCCUGCACACCACAAUAUAUGGUGUUAGGCUAUGUACCAGAACUGUCGGAACCUAGUUCAGCAAAAUAUUUAUUUAGAUUUCUCUCUGUGGCAGCCAAAAAAAUGUUUAACACAUUGCUCUGGUUAAAGAAAGUUACCAAGCUAUCAAAUGUGAUUAAGAAAUACAAGACAUGGAAAGGAUUACACCAUGUCUUUGAGAACAAUUGGCUAAAAUCAGAAGACCUCCAACUCUGAAACCAUUGGGUUUUGCUGGAUGUGAAAGAAAUUGUAAUGACCAUUGUCUGCCUUCAGCCUCUAGCUGGGCCCAUUAUUUCCUCAUAGAAGUAGUUAGGGAGAAAUAACGUUUUCAAGUUUUGAAUAUGCCAAAAAUCUGGAAAUGACUGAAGUAUGACCCUUGAUGAUUUUUUUAGAUGAGUUCUAUCCCUUUUAGUUUUGUACUUGUAAACUAGAGAAAUAAUAUAAAUGUACGCAUCAAGGAAGUCAUAGUGAAGAGGAUUUAUCUAUCUUAUAAGACCAACACACAAAAGCCUAUGGGCUGAGAGAGGAAAAGAGAUGCGCUGAGUUCAGAGGACCACACUUCAGACAUCCUGGCACAUAGAGGGGAAAAAAAAAAAAAAAAAGGAAAAAAAGCACACUUCAGAGUGACAAAACUGCCAAGCCACAAAUGACCGUAUAGACCAGUGAGAUUCCUUAGGAUACUUAGUUAAAGCAAGCAGGGGAACGUGUCCAGCCAGGAGCAAGGAACAGAAGAGAGCCUCAGUGAACCACAAGACAGAGCAAAUGCUCCAGACCACAGGGCUCCAGCAACUCUGGCUGGGAAAGGUGCCUCACCAAAGCCAGGAUGAUUGCAACUGUUUAUGAGACCUGAUAGCAUCCAUUUUAAUAAGUCACAGCUAUAGAAGAGAUCCACCACAAAACAAAGCUGGAAAAAUCUGAAAUGUGCAACUUAAGUGAACUGCUCUGAAGAAGCAACCCCACACCCAGCAUGUAAAGCUGUGCUACCUUGUUCCAUUGAUGGCAUGGCAUACACCACACCAAGAAUGCAGAGAAACCAGGCCAAACACACAGGGAAAUAUUAAAUGAAGAGAGAAGCAGUUAUUAGGAAAGUAAUACGUGAAUGGAAAAUACUAUAGGAAGAAUGAGUACAACGUGGGAACCACGGGAAUGGCCCACCAGAUGAGAAGACUGCAGUUACCAAAUAGGCCAAACUGCCAAGAGUAGUGCAGUAAAUUUCCAUCUCAAAAGAAGCUAGUGGAAGAAAAAACAGAGUUAGAGAAAAAUCCCCUUAUUUUCAUUUUUAGUUAAUCUUUAUCCCAUCAUUGAUGGAGAGUUUUGCAAUCUGGGCAGGAAGCAAAGACACCCACUCCUACAGGCAGAAAGAUGCAUUUGACGUGAGGCAUUUUCUGGGAUGCUCAUUGAACUGAAAAUCCCCUUUGUAGGUGAAGUCCACAAAUAUGACUAGAAGUCUGCAAGCCCAGGACCAUAUCACAACCUAUACAGGUGUGUGCUCAGAGAGGAACAGAGAAAAAGACAGACCUCAGCAGCUGUGUUUAACCAUGGGGCUGCAACCUCCCGGCACAGCAUGGUCCCCUGCACCACAGGACUUCCCCAGCAGGUCUCUAGAAGACUCCUUCUCAUGGAGGAGCCUUUUCCAAAGGGCUCCAGACUACUGUCACUGUACAAAACCUGCUUUGACUCCAUCUGUAAAGGGAGAUAAAAGACUAUUUCUAUAAAACAUGGAAAGGUCUGAUUGUCCUAUGUGAAACAGUGUUCCUUUGUGCCACCCAGGGACGCUUGGCCUUCUUGGUAGUGCUUGCUGUCACCUUCCUGCGUAGGAAGAAGGGGCCAAAACUCAGCAUCUUGUAGGACAUCUUUCAGUGGGACAAAAUUUGCAGGCAUUUCCCUUUGAAAACCUCUUUGUAAAAGAAUAAAAACAGAUCAUUUUGGAGAGUGCCCACACUGAUAGGAUGCUCGCAGCCAGCUUGCAAAGUCUCAGCAGCACUAAAAACUACUCACACAUCUGGAAGAACCAGCACAGUCAUCUAAGAAGUAUUUUGCUCCUGAGCCAUAAAGAGCUGCACAUGAGGCCAGUCUUCUUUCAAAUCCAUUCCCACACUUCUCUCAGCAACUGGGGCAGAUGCUUCAUUCCUUAGCUUGUUAGUUCCAGGAAGGUCUUUCUUGUCCAUUUUUUUCUUCCAGCCUUUCAGGCAAGAUUUCACAGCAGCAUUCUGCAAGCAGAAAAAUGUAUUUCCAGAGAUUCCUUCUUCAGUACUUACUGUUUUUGUUCAGUUUAUUAGCAGAAUUAGCUUCUGGCCACAGCAAGGGGAGGUUUCAGAAUCAUAGAAUCGUUAAGGUUGAAAAGACCAAUAAAAUCAUCCAAUCCAACCAUCAAUCCAUACCCGUGACUGCUGUAGACCAUGUCGUUCAGUGUGACAUCUACCCUUUGCUUGAAAACCUCCAGGGAUGGCAACUCUACCACCUCCCUGAGCAGCCAGUUCCAACACCUCACCAAAGAAAGAUUCACUUCUCCACUUUCUUACCAGAUAACAGGCAAGCUACCAACGGCCAGUAGCUGAAACCACAUUAAAUCUCCACCAUGGAGUAAGGAGACUUCUCACAUUAAAAAUCUUAUCAGUAUUUUCUCCCAUUGAUUUAGUAUUUAAAAGUUUCCUCUAACUUUGCACACAUUGCCUUCUGUGUUUAAGUAUCCUGAGUCUCUUACCAAAUAGCAUACCUAAAUCAAGUAAAACAAUGGAGCAAUUUAAGCUUGACAAUAUUUGUUGAUGAUUUUCAUUUAAAAAAAGGAUUCUAGACUCAGGAGAUAUUAACAUCAUUGAUAGAAAUUGCAUUAUUUCUCACUUUAUUUUUCCCUGGAUAUAAUAAAAAUUUUCCAGUGCUCUUUAGCUCCCAGUGAAGGAAGAAGCUGUGACUUAUUUGUUUUCUUGGAACCUCUGGAUCAAAGAAGCAAGCCAAAACUAUUUUCAAGUAGGACUUGGUACUUUUGCAUCAUGGACACUCAAUUUCCAAAUUAAGCGUUCUAAAAGAGGCAUAUAUAGUGACAGGAAAAGGUUUCUAUAUAGAAAGAGAGUAAGUAGUUCUGAAAAUACCAGACAGCUGAAUAUGCGGUAUCCCAGACCAAAAUACACUGGCACCAACUUCAAUGCUGAUGUUUUUAUAAUAGUAGCACAAUUAAUUUUUGUAAAUCCUUUGCAGCUGUACCACCAAUAUAGCAUGGUAUUUUUAACAGGGUAUUUUCAUUACCUUAUUUUUAGAGAUGAAGGUUUUAACCCUGAUCUUCAGUUGUUUACAACUGAUUGGAUAUGUGAGCAAGAACUUCUGUUGCAGGAAAGCAAAGGAGUAGGUCUUUGCAGGCACAGAGUGAUUUCAGAGCAACUCAUCCCCUCUUGUCCAUCUCUAGCCAUGUCACAAUGGAGACUGCUCUCAGAGUGGAACUGACCAAAAUGAUAAGCCCUGAUAAAAGUAUCAAAAAGAGUACAGAGAAGAGGUGGAUACAUUUGAAAGAUGAGACUUUCUACUUGGAUCAAACAAACUUGUUAGGCCAGAUGUGCCUGGAUUUUUCUUAUUGGAGAGCAAUAAAAACCUCAUGGUUGUUGAACUAUGCAGUGUUGGCUUAGAAAUCAAAACAGUUGAACAGAUGAUGCAAGUAACUGUACCCCAUUGACCCAAACAUCCACAGAGGUUUUAAUAAACAUCUUUAUAGUUGAAAAGUCCAAACCUCGUAAGUCAAAGCACCAGCACUAAUUUUUGUCUGUAGUAUUACAAGGUGUGCAUGGAAGUCCUUGCAGGAUCAUGGGUGAUUUUUCUUAGGGCUCCAGCUUCUCCUGGUGCUCAGGGUCUCCUUAAGACAAGUCAGUGUCGUACCCUGCAUCUUCCAGAGAACACACAGCAGAAGGCUGCAAAGUCUCACCUGAGCACAAGGGAGCUGAUAUGUUUUCAAAGCCUCACAACCCACCAGAAUGUUAGGGGAAAGGCAAGACACAGACUGACACAAUCUGCUUCGCAGGCAGGCCUUAGGUGUUUUCUCAGAAGCAGGUGAUGCCAAACCUUAAUUUGAUCUCCAUUUUCAAACAUAGGCACAACAACAUGGUUUUCAUCUCCCUUUGGAAACUGACAGAGCAAUACAAAGCUUUCUGAAGCCAUCCAGCUGAGACAGACAUUCACAGACCAAAAUGUAGACCUCCCUAAAGCCAAUAAGAGGAAAAAAUCCAUAAAAAUUCUGUAGUUUGUUCUUCUCUUACUUUAUGGUUUGGGGAGUGCUUUUUUUUCCUAAGCAUUUAUGGCAAUAGAAUGUGCUUACAAAAAGAAAAAAGAGACAUUUAUGAUUAUCAGAUGUUUAACUCCACUUUCCCAACACAUGUAAGCUAACUGCUCCUUCCCAAAUCAAAGUAUUCUCCCUUAACAACUAACUUGCAGUGAUUUUGAAGUUACAUAUGUAAUACAACAGCACUCUUAUUUGCCUGCUGGAGAAUCAGAACAAGAUUUGUCUUAAUACAUCUUUUCAAAAAUAUUUUAUUCCUUCACAACAAAUUGCAACUCUUAUCUUGGAAUGUAUUUUUAUAGUUGAAAUGCACAGUAAGAGUUAAACAAAUACCCUCUUUUUUUUUUCAGAUGAUCUGCAUUAUUCUUGAAGUAACAUUUGAAAAAAUUAUUUCCCUAAGCUUAAUUUUCUCUAUAAAUUAGCAAGUUUUUUUCUCUCUCUUUUUUUUUUUUUUGGUGUGUGGUGGUGGGAAGAGGGGGUUCCCAGUUCACUGGGGCAGUAUGAGAUUGAUUAUAAGCAGACUUCCUGCAAAAACUUGGGCAGGUCCUCUGGAGCAUUCCCCACUCGCAGAACAUCGCUCCUCCAGAGCAGACGCCAGAGGGCAAAAAUAAAACAAAGGGGGGAGGGCUAAACUUUAAAAGAAAUAAAAUCCUCUCUCCAAAUCCAAUCAGAUAUUUCAGUGACAUGAACGGAUCCUUCGUUUUUGGCAGCAUCUCUUCUAUCAGGUCCAGUGAAAAAUCUUAUGAAAAUCCCAGCAACUGUCAAAUGCAGACAUGAUUUUCAUGGAAGAAGUCCAGAUUCCAGAAACUUGUUUGAAGAGAGGAUAAGUACUUCACAUGUGCUUCUGACAGCCAGCUACAGCCUUCACUCAUACUCCAUUUCCCAUGCUUGAGAAAACAGAAUAGAUUUCAGAGGCCUUUGGUUUAGCAAACUUAGUGAUAGGAAAUAUCCCAAUCUUCAUACAUGGUAUUUGGAAGUGGCAUGUGACAAUCUUCCAUGAAGAUACAACAGAGUUUUUGAAGAGGGAAUGUUUACAAAGCAAAUUGAUAGUCUGAUGUAUCCAGAGUAAUUAGUUGUAAGCCAAGUAAUAAAAAUGUGGAGAACUUACAAGUAUGCCAGAUGAAAGCAAAAUUCAGAUGUUGCAUACUGUAUGAGCACAUAAUGAAGGCCACUUUGUAAUACAAGAGCACAAAACCAUGGGCUGCAUUCAGACCUAGUGUGCAGUACAGCUAAAAUAUCAGUCAAGCCAGAUAUUAAUUUAGCUCAUAACCCUAGGAAGGCAUUUUUGCCAUCUUAUGUAAAGUGUCCAAACUCUUUACUGAAAGAAGAGCCUUAAAUCAUAGAAUUCUUCAGAAAUUAUCCACCACUACAAAUAUCGCUUUUAUUUAGAUAAAGAACAGUAAGCACUGAAAAACGUACUUCAUCCCCAGUGUGGAAGCUGUUGGUUAGCAGUGGAAAACCCUGGACCUCUUUGUCUCCUACUGUUAUGUUUUUAAAAAUUAAUGCAGAACUCUGUCCGAUCAGUGUUUAUUUCUGACAGAGUUUUCGGCUGGGAGGUAGCUAAUGUCUUUGGCAUGUUUUAAGUAGCAUAUCAGAAUCAAUCAUUGACUUGGGUAAUACUGUAUUAUACUUCUGUCUCUUGUUUAGAAAAUAAUGCGUAGCAAGGGAACCCUUAAGGAUUAAAUCUUCACUUUGGAAGACAGCUAAGUGCACAGACACAAAGAUAUGGAGCUAAAGUAGACUGAAAAACGGCAGCUCUGAACUUAUAUUGUAUACACACACUUGUUGAUUUUCCUCUCCUAGUCUAGAAUAUUAACCAGUUCACCAACCUCAUAUUUCUCAGGAGAACGUAAUGCAGAAAAAGAAACCACAAAAAACCCAACACAAUUACAUUCAAACUGUUUCGUUUUUCUAAGGGUCUGUAUGCAUGGAGGGCUACCACAAGGCUGCAGGUUUCUCUAGCCUCAGACAACCUGGUAGCAGGGGAAGCACACUGUGCAGGGGUGUGCUGGAGCACUUUCUGCAGUGGCCCAUCCAGAGCUGCAGAGGAGUAAGGUACGUGGAGCUCACCUAAUAUCAAUGGGUCUGGUCCAUUUCUUAAGAAACACUUCAGCCAACAAAUGACAUUGGAAAGAAAAACUGAUGGAAGAAGUAUCAUUCUUUACAGUAAAUUUGUACAUUAACAAGAUUCCUUCUCAUCUGGCAUUUCAGUUUAGUCAGCAGUGCAUAAAUACAGACCAGAUGUGCACGAGGAUGGAUAAAUCUCUACCAGACAGAGAGAAGCAGCGUCAGAAUCUGCCUGGGCACUC
ensembl:lncRNA